rnacentral:rRNA from 1 species
GACGAACGCUGGCGGCGUGCUUAACACAUGCAAGUCGAGCGGUAAGGCCCCUUCGGGGUACGACGAGCGGCGAACGGGUGAGUAACACGUGGGUGACCUGCCCUCAGCUCUGGGAUAAGCCUGGGAAACGUGGGUCUAAUACCGGAUAUGACUCCAUGACGCAUGUCGUGGGGUGGAAAGCCUUGUGCGGCUGGGGAUGGGCCCGCGGCCUAUCAGCUUGUUGGUGGGGUGAUGGCCUACCAAGGCGACGACGGGUAGCCGGCCUGAGAGGGCGACCGGCCACACUGGGACUGAGACACGGCCCAGACUCCUACGGGAGGCAGCAGUGGGGAAUCUUGCGCAAUGGGCGAAAGCCUGACGCAGCGACGCCGCGUGAGGGAUGACGGCCUGGUUGU